ACUCAAAUGAAUAGACGGGGGCCCGCACAAGCAGCGGAGCAUGUGGUUUAAUUCGAAGCAACGCGAAGAACCUUACCAAGGCUUGACAUACCGAUGACCGGUGUAGAGAUACACCUUUCCUUAGGGACAUUGGAUACAGGUGGUGCAUGGUUGUCGUCAGCUCGUGUCGUGAGAUGUUGGGUUAAGUCCCGCAACGAGCGCAACCCCUGUGAUUAGUUGCCAGCACGUAAUGGUGGGAACUCUAAUGAGACUGCCGGGGAUAACUCGGAGGAAGGUGGGGACGACGUCAAAUCAUCAUGCCCUUUAUGUCUUGGGCUACACACGUGCUACAAUGGAAAGUACAAAGAGCAGCGACCAGGUAACUGCAAGCGAAUCUCAAAAAGCUUUCCUCAGUUCGGAUUGUGGGCUGCAACCCGCCCACAUGAAGUUGGAGUUGCUAGUAAUCGCGGAUCAGCAUGCCGCGGUGAAUGCGUUCCCGGGCCUUGCACACACCGCCCGU
rnacentral:rRNA from 1 species